AUACACAUCUUCAAUCUGUAUGUGGUGCCCCUGUGGAAGGCAGAUGUGGAUCCUUUCUGUUCACUGCCUGACCUGACAACGAAAGACCUUGUAGUUUUCCCAGCAUGGAGCCAACAACAGGACGCUGCUGAUCACUACCUCCUCUGCACGCAUUGCAGCCUUUAUUGAUCCAGGGCCAUGGUCUGAGAAGACAGGGAGAGACCUUGAACAUUUUCCUCUUCAGUCCAACGGACAUGACUGUGGGAUCUUCAUGUU